GUUACAGAUAGAAGUCUUAAAUUAACAUUGAAUAAA
rnacentral:sRNA from 1 species